rnacentral:rRNA from 1 species
CCUACGGGAGGCAGCAGUAAGGAAUAUUGGUCAAUGGAGGAAACUCUGAACCAGCCAUCCCGCGUGAAGGAUGAAGGGGCUCUGCCUUGUAAACUUCUUUUGUCUGGGGCGAAAAAGCUCGAUUUAUCGAGAACUGACGGUACCAGAAGAAUAAGCACCGGCUAACUCCGUGCCAGCAGCCGCGGUAAUACGGAGGGUGCAAGCGUCAUUGGGAAUCACGGGGGCGUAGGGGGGUGUAGGCGGCUGUGGUGAACGGCUGUGGCUUAACCAUGGAAUUGCCAUUGAUACUGCAGAGCUUGAAUGAGGUUGAGGUUGGCGGAAUGUGACAUGUAGCGGUGAAAUGCUUAGAUAUGUCAUGGAACACCGAUUGCGAAGGCAGCUGACUGGACCUAUAUUGACGCUGAGGCACGAAAGCGUGGGGCGCGAACAGGAUUAGAUACCCUAGUAGUC